rnacentral:rRNA from 1 species
UGGGGAAUUUUUCACAAUGGGCGCAAGCCUGAUGCAGCCAUGCCGCGUGUAUGAAGAAGGCCUUCGGGUUGUAAAGUACUUUCAGCGGGGAGGAAGGGAGUACAGUUAAUACCUUUGCUCAUUGACGUUACCCGCAGAAGAAGCACCGGCUAACUCCGUGCCAGCAGCCGCGGUAAUACGGAGGGUGCAAGCGUUAAUCGGAAUUACUGGGCGUAAAGCGCACGCAGGCGGUUUGUUAAGUCAGAUGUGAAAUCCCCGGGCUCAACCUGGGAACUGCAUCUGAUACGGGCAAGCUUGAGUCUCGUAGAGGGGGGUAGAAUGCCAGGUGUAGCGGUGAAAUGCGUAGAGAUCUGGAGGAAUACCGGUGGCGAAGGCGGCCCCCUGGACGAAGACUGACGCUCAGGUGCGAAAGCGUGGGAAGCAAACAGG